UUUUCACCCUGCCAUCCUGAGCAUUGAUGAAAGUCGUAAUUGAACAUAACAAAAGUCUCCCAUUCUUGGGAGACUUUUUGGGCAGUU
rfam:Citrobacter freundii cbiA gene for cobyrinic acid A,C-diamide synthase and pdu operon